rnacentral:rRNA from 1 species
GCGGAGGAAAAGAAACCAACAGGGAUUGCCUCAGUAACGGCGAGUGAAGCGGCAAAAGCUCAAAUUUUAAAGCUGACAUCUUCGGUGUCCGCGUUGUAAUUUUGUGAGGCAUCUCCGGGUAGGGCGCUGGCCUAAGUUCCUUGGAACAGGACGUCACAGAGGGUGAGAAUCCCGUGCUUGGCUGGCUGUCCCCGUCCAUGUGAGGUGUCUUCGACGAGUCGAGUUGUUUGGGAAUGCAGCUCAAAAUGGGUGGUAAAUUUCAUCUAAAGCUAAAUAUUGGUGGGAGACCGAUAGCGCACAAGUAGAGUGAUCGAAAGAUGAAAAGCACUUUGAAAAUAGAGUUAAAAAGUACGUGAAAUUGUUGAAAGGGAAGCGCUUGAGACCAGACUUCGGUAAGGGGUGAUCAGCCGUCCUUUUGGGCGGUGCACUUGCCCCCCUCCGGGCCAGCAUCGGUUGAGGCGGCGGGAUAAAGGUCCCGGGAAUGUGGCUCCUUCACGGGAGUGUUAUAGCCCGGGUGAAUGCCGCCAGCUUCGACCGAGGACCGCACCCGCAAGGGUUAGGAUGCUUGGCAUAAUGGUCUUCAGCGACCCGUCU